rnacentral:tRNA from 1 species
GUCGGGAUAGCUCAGCUGGUAGAGCAGGAGGACU